CCUACGGGCGGCAGCAGUGGGGAAUAUUGCACAAUGGGGGAAAGCCUGAUGCAGCGACGCCGCGUGAGUGAAGAAGUAUCUCGGUACGUAAAGCUCUAUCAGCAGGGAAGAAAAUGACGGUACCUGACGAAGAAGCCCCGGGUAACUACGUGCCAGCAGCCGCGGUAAUACGUAGGGGGCAAGCGGUAUCCGGAUUUACUGGGUGUAAAGGGAGCGUAGACGGCAGCAUUAGGCUGGAGUGAAAGCCCGGGGCUUAAACCCGGGAAUGCUUUGGAAACUGGGCGGCUGGAGUGCAGGAGGGGUAAGCGGAAUUCCUAGUGUAGCGGUGAAAUGCGUAGAUAUUAGGAGGAACACCGGAGGCGAAGGCGGCUUACUGGACUGUAACUGACGUUGAGGCUCGAAAGCGUGGGGAGCAAACAGGAUUAGAUACCCUAGUAGUC
rnacentral:rRNA from 1 species